UACAGAGGUCCCGAGCGUUGUUCGGAUUCACUGGGCGUAAAGGGUGCGUAGGUGGUUAGGUAAGUCUACUGUGAAAUCUCGGAGCUCAACUCCGAAACUGCAGCGGAUACUAUCUAGCUUGAGGAUUGGAGGGGGGACUGGAAUUCUCGGUGUAGCAGUGAAAUGCGUAGAUAUCGAGAGGAACACCAGUGGCGAAGGCGAGUCCCUAGACAAUUCCUGACGCUGAGGCACGAAAGCUAGGGGAGCAAACAGG
rnacentral:rRNA from 1 species